ACUUAACCUGCAGCAUCUCCAUCAGAGAGAGUCUGGCCGGGGGUAUCCCCAUGUGGUACCCAUUUUUCCUGCUCUGCUGGGGAGUGGAGCCAUGCACUGCUAGCCAAAAAGCAGCUGGCAGGUCCCUGCAGCCUAUGGCAACUUCAAGGGGCCUCUGUCCCUGACACUUCAGGGCCAGGCCCACCUUUCCCAGGUUCCAGCAUCCCAGCCAAGCAAAGUGAUUUCUGUACCAGAAUUUGUGAGCCCCCAUCGGCUACUUCAGGCUGUUGGCUGAGAGGGUGAGAAGCUCUUGCAGUGAAGCAGGUGAGUGCUGAUCCAGAAAUCAUGUCAACACAUGAUUUAUUACCUUAGAGAGGACUGUGCCUGCCACAGAUGGAGGCUUUGUCAAUACAGACCCUGCGCUGGUUACUUCCAAAAGCUCAUUCAUAUCUGCAUUGCCUGCUAAUUGCAACACAAGCAUGUCAUGACAUACUCCAUUGGCUAUUUGGCAUCUCUCGUUUAAAAUGAGAAUUACAAUUUUUACACUUAGAAAUACUCAUCUGUAAGUAUAAAUUGGGUCAAUAGAAGAAGAUUCUGCUGAGACAUCGUAUUUGAUUGCCAUGUUGACUUUAGUCGGACAUUGCACCUGAGUAAUUUUAUAAUAGAUUACUGUAUGCAAAUAACUCUCUAAAGCCUCGUAAAUUAUGCUAAGGAAGGAAUGUAAUUGUAGGUGCCGUAAUGAUAAGAUACGACAGUUCCACACAGCAGAUAAAAGCAUUCAAAAUGCAACCAUGGAAUAGUGCUGGAGUGAAGACAAGGCUAAAAGUAGGGACAGAAAAAGGACUGCACUUUGCAAACAGGGAGCAGGACAGUGAGCUGUGCUGACCACUGCGUAUACAGAAGGCAAUACUUUCUGCUUGAAAACUGGGCUAUGAUAAUGUACCCAGGAAAAAUGACUAUGCAUCCUGAAAUACAUUAGUGUUACUGCAACUGCAAGACAUUUUCCCUAAUUAUUAGGUUUUGACAAUCCAAAGUACACAAUCAGAAAACUU